CGAAAUCGGUAGACGCUACGGACUUAAAAUCCGUCGACUUUAUAAAUCGUGA
rnacentral:tRNA from 9 species